AAAUAAAUGCGUUAGGGAUUGCAGCGGCAUCCUUUUACCUGCAUGCUGAGUUUAUCGAAGCAUAGCGGUAAAAGAUAAAGCGAAAAGCCCGGCCUGAA
rnacentral:sRNA from 1 species